UCGGGGCUCGCCUCCCCCGGCCCCAGCCUCCGAGGAUGCCGCAGCAUCUUCUCCCAGCGCACCCCAAGGGACCUCUAUGCCACAUGGGGACAAAAGAAGCAGACAGUUUCCAACGGUUACAGAUGCACAGGUGCCUCUCCUACUCAGACAGCUGAUAGACCCAUCCUUGCUUAUGAUCUGGAUCCAGUCCUGGAGAACAGGAAGUGGAACAGUGGGGUCGUCAGAGCCAUGUUUGGUACAGAACUCUAUGCUAUUGCAGCUACACUUCUGGAAAAAAAGAACAAGAAGAAACAGAGUAAUGUUCAAAAGAGAAACUGAGGGAAAGAGAAAAUGA
rnacentral:lncRNA from 1 species